rnacentral:rRNA from 1 species
AACGCUGGCGGCAGGCCUAACACAUGCAAGUCGAGCGGCAGCACGGGUACUUGUACCUGGUGGCGAGCGGCGGACGGGUGAGUAAUGCCUAGGAAUCUGCCUGGUAGUGGGGGAUAACGCUCGGAAACGGACGCUAAUACCGCAUACGUCCUACGGGAGAAAGCAGGGGACCUUCGGGCCUUGCGCUAUCAGAUGAGCCUAGGUCGGAUUAGCUAGUUGGUGAGGUAAUGGCUCACCAAGGCGACGAUCCGUAACUGGUCUGAGAGGAUGAUCAGUCACACUGGAACUGAGACACGGUCCAGACUCCUACGGGAGGCAGCAGUGGGGAAUAUUGGACAAUGGGCGAAAGCCUGAUCCAGCCAUGCCGCGUGUGUGAAGAAGGUCUUCGGAUUGUAAAGCACUUUAAGUUGGGAGGAAGGGCAGUUACCUAAUACGUAAUUGUUUUGACGUUACCGACAGAAUAAGCACCGGCUAACUCUGUGCCAGCAGCCGCGGUAAUACAGAGGGUGCAAGCGUUAAUCGGAAUUACUGGGCGUAAAGCGCGCGUAGGUGGUUCGUUAAGUUGGAUGUGAAAUCCCCGGGCUCAACCUGGGAACUGCAUUCAAAACUGUCGAGCUAGAGUAUGGUAGAGGGUGGUGGAAUUUCCUGUGUAGCGGUGAAAUGCGUAGAUAUAGGAAGGAACACCAGUGGCGAAGGCGACCACCUGG